rnacentral:rRNA from 1 species
UACGGAGGGUGCAAGCGUUAUCCGGAUUCACUGGGUUUAAAGGGUGCGUAGGUGGGUCUGUAAGUCAGUGGUGAAAUCUCCGGGCUUAACCCGGAAACUGCCAUUGAUACUAUUAAUCUUGAAUGCCGUGGAGGUCAGCGGAAUAUGUCAUGUAGCGGUGAAAUGCUUAGAUAUGACAUAGAACACCAAUUGCGAAGGCAGCUGGCUACACGAAUAUUGACACUGAUGCACGAAAGCGUGGGGAUCAAACAGG